AGCUGUUCCCCUCUGGAGGUUUUUUGACCUUCACACCUUAAGGGCCCCGAGCUUUCGGCGGCCCUUUUUUUUGCUUAAA
rnacentral:sRNA from 1 species